rnacentral:lncRNA from 1 species
ACUUAUCUGGCUAAUAUGAUCAAUCAUAUUUGGAUUAGAUCACCUAAUGAUUGGUCUUGACCCUUGCUAACUAAAAAAUCAGUAUGACUGAUUUAGGUGCCCCUAGUUCAACUUGUCUUGAGUCCUCAUCAUAACUUGGUGAAGUCAGUGGGAGAAUUUAUGACUAAUUGGGUGGACCAGAUUGGAUCUAAUUUUCUUUAAUCUGACUUAGU